rnacentral:lncRNA from 1 species
UAUAAUGGAAUCUGUUGUUUUAAUGUCAUAGAUUUCUUUCCCCCUCUUUCAUCAGUGUUAGCACAGACCCGCGGGGAAUUUGCAGCGUGAGCUCUGAGAUCUCUCCUCUGUGAAGCAGCUCCCCCACUUGGUUUAAGCAACCAGAAUCUGGCAACCUCUGCAGAGAGGAGUGUCACCCUGAGAAAAGCAUGGGAUGACUUACCAGACUUGAACCAUGAGUGAAGACGAUACAGUGGCUUCCAGCUUUCC